rfam:Lactobacillus animalis strain 381-IL-28 NODE_8_length_231465_cov_20.032148, whole genome shotgun sequence.
GUUUAUCUUCAGGGCAGGGUGUAAAUCCCGACCGGCGGUAAAAGUCCGCGACUCCUCGUUUAUUGCGAGGACUGAACUGGUGUGAUCCCAGUACCGACAGUUAAAGUCUGGAUGAAAGAAGAUAGGU